GAUGAACGCUGGCGGCGUGCCUAAUACAUGCAAGUCGAGCGAACAGACGAGGAGCUUGCUCCUCUGACGUUAGCGGCGGACGGGUGAGUAACACGUGGAUAACCUACCUAUAAGACUGGGAUAACUUCGGGAAACCGGAGCUAAUACCGGAUAAUAUAUUGAACCGCAUGGUUCAAUAGUGAAAGACGGUUUUGCUGUCACUUAUAGAUGGAUCCGCGCCGCAUUAGCUAGUUGGUAAGGUAACGGCUUACCAAGGCAACGAUGCGUAGCCGACCUGAGAGGGUGAUCGGCCAGACUGGAACUGAGACACGGUCCAGACUCCUACGGGAGGCAGCAGUAGGGAAUCUUCCGCAAUGGGCGAAAGCCUGACGGAGCAACGCCGCGUGAGUGAUGAAGGUCUUCGGAUCGUAAAACUCUGUUAUUAGGGAAGAACAAAUGUGUAAGUAACUAUGCACGUCUUGACGGUACCUAAUCAGAAAGCCACGGCUAACUACGUG
rnacentral:rRNA from 1 species